AACGGUCUAUACCUGCGGUACCUGCGGAGGGAUCAUCAAAAAAAGAGAAGGGGUGAAAGUUUCUUCAUCCUCUCUUUUUUAUUAAUUUUUUCUUUCUUUCCCCCUUUUUAUUAUAUACUCCUUCCUAGGAGUUGUAAUUAGAGAAAAAGGGGGUAAAGAAAAGAAACUUGUCGACUUCUUGUUGUCCCCUUUUUAGGAGAGUUUCUUUUAAAAAGGGGGGGAGACCCUUUUCCCUCUCCA
rnacentral:misc_RNA from 1 species